AGAGUUUGAUCCUGGCUCAGGAUGAACGCUGGCGGCGUGCCUAACACAUGCAAGUCGAGCGAUCUUCUUCGGAAGAGAGCGGCGGGCGGGUGAGUAACGCGUGGGUAACCUGCCCUGUACACACGGAUAACAUACCGAAAGGUAUGCUAAUACGAGAUAACAUAAGAAAUUCGCAUGUUUUUCUUAUCAAAGCUCCGGCGGUACAGGAUGGACCCGCGUCUGAUUAGCUAGUUGGUGAGGUAACGGCUCACCAAGGCGACGAUCAGUAGCCGACCUGAGAGGGUGAUCGGCCACAUUGGAACUGAGACACGGUCCAAACUCCUACGGGAGGCAGCAGUGGGGAAUAUUGCACAAUGGGCGAAAGCCUGAUGCAGCAACGCCGCGUGAGCGAUGAAGGCCUUCGGGUCGUAAAGCUCUGUCCUCAAGGAAGAUAAUGACGGUACUUGAGGAGGAAGCCCCGGCUAACUACGUGCCAGCAGCCGCGGUAAUACGUAGGGGGCUAGCGUUAUCCGGAUUUACUGGGCGUAAAGGGUGCGUAGGCGGUCUUUUAAGUCAGGAGUGAAAGGCUACGGCUCAACCGUAGUAAGCUCUUGAAACUGGAGGACUUGAGUGCAGGAGAGGAGAGUGGAAUUCCUAGUGUAGCGGUGAAAUGCGUAGAUAUUAGGAGGAACACCAGUAGCGAAGGCGGCUCUCCGGACUGUAACUGACGCUGAGGCACGAAAGCGUGGGGAGCAAACAGGAUUAGAUACCCUGGUAGUCCACGCCGUAAACGAUGAGUACUAGGUGUCGGGGGUUACCCCCCUCGGUGCCGCAGCUAACGCAUUAAGUACUCCGCCUGGGGAGUACGCUCGCAAGAGUGAAACUCAAAGGAAUUGACGGGGACCCGCACAAGUAGCGGAGCAUGUGGUUUAAUUCUAAGCAACGCGAAGAACCUUACCUAAGCUUGACAUCCUUUUGACCGAUGCCUAAUCGCAUCUUUCCCUUCGGGGACAGAAGUGACAGGUGGUGCAUGGUUGUCGUCAGCUCGUGUCGUUAGAUGUUGGGUUAAGUCCCGCAACGAGCGCAACCCUUGCCUUUAGUUGCCAUCAUUAAGUUGGGCACUCUAGAGGGACUGCCAGGGAUAACCUGGAGGAAGGUGGGGAUGACGUCAAAUCAUCAUGCCCCUUAUGCUUAGGGCUACACACGUGCUACAAUGGGUGGUACAGAGGGCAGCGAAGUCGUGAGGCCAAGCUAAUCCCUUAAAGCCAUUCUCAGUUCGGAUUGUAGGCUGAAACUCGCCUACAUGAAGCUGGAGUUACUAGUAAUCGCAGAUCAGAAUGCUGCGGUGAAUGCGUUCCCGGGUCUUGUACACACCGCCCGUCACACCAUGGGAGUUGGGGGCGCCCGAAGCCGGCUAGCUAACCUUUUGGAAGCGGUCGUCGAAGGUGAAACCAAUAACUGGGGUGAAGUCGUAACAAGGUA
rnacentral:rRNA from 1 species